UAUACAUGGUCAACAUGACCCAAACCCAAAAUUCUCCUAGGUUAAACCACAUGUGAUUGCACUCACCCAAGCCCAAUUACACCCUUGACUUUUGUACACUCACUCACCUUGGACUCAAUCUUAGCCCAAUGAUGGAUUAGACCCUCUAGGCCCAAAUCAUUUAGGCCUCAAGAUUCUCAAGGCCCUAAACCCUGAACCUCAAGAUCGUGAAGGCUGAUAGCCUUCACCCUAGGGCUUAAGCCGACCCUAGUACCCCAUGAACACCUCAUGGAUCAUAAAUCUUGGCCUUUUUCUUGGCCAACUGAGAUUUGGGAGCACCACAUUAGGUCCUACAUGUGCGGUCCAUUCACAUGGCCUACAUGCAGUUUUGCAUGAUCGGGUGGCCAGGAGCACGAUAUGCACGAUCGAACGAUCGUGGAGGUUUUAUGGACUUUGAUCAAUACUAUGCUUGGAUUAUAAAGUUUUGUUAGGACUCUAUUUCAGAUUCUUUUAAAGACCUGACGACCUGUGGAGCUAGGGGGCAUUAAUAGCAAUGGCAGAGGAGUGGGCAUCAGAAGCAGCUUAGCGUGCGUAGCUGCAGAG
rnacentral:lncRNA from 1 species